AAUGAACGCUGGCGGUAGGCCUAACACAUGCAAGUCGAACGGCAGCACAGUAAGAGCUUGCUCUUACGGGUGGCGAGUGGCGGACGGGUGAUGAAUACAUCGGAAUCUACUUUAUCGUGGGGGAUAACGUAGGGAAACUUACGCUAAUACCGCAUACGACCUACGGGUGAAAGCAGGGGAUCUUCGGACCUUGCGCGGUUGAAUGAGCCGAUGUCGGAUUAGCUAGUUGGCGGGUUAAAGGCCCACCAGGGCGACGAUCCGUAGCUGCUCCGAGAGGAUGAUUCGAUACCCUGGAAGUGAGACACGGUCGAGACUCUUGGGCUAGGACGCAGUGCGGAAUCUUGGAGAAUGGGGGCAAGCCUGAUCCAGCCCUACCGCGUGGGUGCAGAACGCCUCCGGGUUGUAGAGCCCUUUUGUUGUGAAAGAAAAGCAGCAGGUUAAUCUCCCGCUGUUCUGACGGUACCCAAAGAAUAAGCACCGGCUAACUUCGUG
rnacentral:rRNA from 1 species